AGUCAAGAAAAUGCUCGCUGCGCAGCUACAGAUACAACAGUUGCAGAUAUGUACAUGUGUUUGUAUGUGUGUACAUGCCACACACACACACACACAUACACACAGGCAGCACAUACGUGGAUACGUGGGGAGCAGCACAAAAGCGACAUUGCAAAGUUUUCGCUGCAUGCCGAUGGAGGAGGCGAGGCAGCAAUGGUAGCAGUGGCAGAAGGCACAUGAGGCAUCGGCUGAGAGCAGGCUUCUGGCCCGGGACUGAGCUCGCGCGUUCCAUGCAAACAGAAGAGAUGCCCAGGCAACUACACUCGUUAACACAGUUCAAGGGUUUGUUUGCUGGAAAAGCCAAAGUUCGCUGAAAUGGAGGCCACACUAGCAGCAAAAGGAUCAGCAGAAGCUCCACACACCCACAAUUGUUGGGCAGGACAGUACCGCUGUGCAGUGUACACGCCGCGCGCAUUAGGGAACAACAGCAAGACAUGUGGCAUCUGGGAUGCAUGCAAUUCGCUGCUCGGAUAACGGCCGCCAGCCAAGGACUCACAACGGACCUGGCUCCAACGCCUCUUGCUUCAGUGGGCUUCUUCUUCUACAUAGUUUCCCCCGCCCAUCCGGUUGGCUACCCAGCAGCACUUUUGGAAAUGGGUGCCACGAAAAUGCCGCCACUUGUGCGCUCUGGCAAUAAGCAGGAUUCAAUAGACGACGACGACAAGGAGGAGGGAGGGAGUGAGAUGGUGACGCUACCUUUGGCCCACCCAUACAGAAACAGAGAGAAACAGAGACACACACAGAGUAAGAGAGAAAGAGACGAAGAGAGCGAGGACAGAGACAAACACACACACAAAUGCUAUGCUAUGGCCAUAUCCACAUAAUGAAGUAGAGCCACCACGCCACGAGGGUUGCCCACUCGCCGAGCACCCCACACCACGCACACCUCGCCCUCCUCCCCUUGCCAUUUGGAAGAGCAAGCAGUCGCAUGACCAAACACCCAACAAAAAGCCGCAGCAAUAACAACAGCACUGGAAUGGGGCAAAAGGGGACAAGGGACACGGGCAAAAGGAAGAGCAAGAGCAAAGGUUCACAUUUAGCUUCGUUUUGUCAGCCGAACCAACAAGCCCGAAGGAGCAGAAAGAAGCAGAAAGAAACCCAAAAGGAGAUGAAAGAAGAAUAGAAAAAACAGCAGCAGCAGCCGAAGAAGAAGCAACAGAAAAUAACGGAAAUAAACUGUCAACUAUAUCCAUAAAUGAGCAUCAACCAACAUUAAGGAUACAUCAUCAAUUAAUUACGUUCAGAUUAAUUUCACAAUUAUCAUUAUAGUUGCGAGGAAGGGAGACUCACAAAGAGAUUAAAGCGAAUCAUGGCUAGUUCCCUGUUUUGGCAUUGAAGACGUUGGAUGACGCAAACACAAAGGACAUGUCCAAUCAGUGGGUCUAAAUUUAUGCAGAGUUCAUCGAAGGAGGAGCACCACCAAGAAAGCCCAUCAUCGGAGUCCUCGUUGGCUGCCAA